AUUAGCUUAGAUAGGUCAGAAUACAGGCCAUAGAGUUCACAAUUUGUUGUAAGUUCUGAUUUUAGUAUGCAAAUUCAAACUUACGUAAAUUGAGUGUGUUGGAUAAUAAUCACAAUAUAUUAUUAUAUGCUAUAUAUGGCUUACUUGUGUUUAGUAAAAAUAUAUUGUCAUGUAUGGCAAUUAAAUAAAAUUGUUACAUUAAACAUAUAUGUGUGCACUAACUGAUUGAUCAAAGUGAAUUAUGUGACAGUCCUUCGUAUGCUAGAAAUUUUAAAUUGAGUCUCAUAUCCUAAACCAAAAGAAUGCAUUGUGUUUCCAUAUCAAGGUUGAUAAGCACACUUUGAACAAUUGCUGAUAACAAGCAGUCAUACCAUGGUUGGAGGGAGGGUGUGUUGCUAUGCCUCAGGCCAUGGGUUCAAGCCUAAAAUGAAACCGAAGAAUUUUUUGCUGCAAUAACCUGGGAAAGCUAAUGAAGAGGAAUUUGUGGAUGGAUUGCCAUAGGGAGUGAUACACAGUCAGUAGGCAUGAGAAUGCACAAGCAAGGGUGAGGUCUAUGUGAGAGGGAUAAGUGAAUGGAAAGAAGUAGGGAGAAGAAAUGGAUAGGUUACAGAUAGUGCAACGUUUAAUUGAUUUCUACAAUCUUUUUUUGAGUUCAAAAAUUCCAGUCCUGUUUUUAAUCUAUAAUCCUCCCAAAAAAUGUCAAUUCCAUUUUUGCAACUUGUAUUUGCUAAUGCAGCUAAUGAUGUAUUAGCAAAUACAAGUGCUUGUGACAGCAGUGACACAUCACUUAGUAAUGUGACAGCAAUAAUUUUUCAAAAUGAUCAGUUAGUUGCACAGCAACUAAUUGAUCAUUUUGAAAAAUUAUUGCCAAGAUUCAUCUUGAAUCUUGGCAAUAAUUUUAUUAAAUAACAUACAUCAUUUUCUCUUGUUAUUCUUCAUUAUUUGGGGUCUCGUCUCAUCUAGUUAUCAAAUCAACUGCUGAAAUGGAAAUGACAAAAUGGCAGACUGGAGGCAGAAAUGGAUGCCUCCUAACCAGCACUGGUUUCUUUUGAUUAUGAAAAUUUGUUAAUAUUCAUCACAAUAAUAUGAUGAUUUAUUUGAAUCCCCAGAUCAUGCCAUAGGCAAUAUUUCAUGUGUAUACAAGCCAUUUAUUCAUCAGUACUAGCAAAAUUUGCCACUUUCCUCAUCAGAAUUCUCAUGUCAUCAUCCAGUGCUUGUCAAUUAAUAUUAUCAUCAUUAUUAUUAUUAUUCUGUUGUUGUUUAUCAUGUGAGCACGGAAUAAUUUCGGAGCAAAGUGCUAU
rnacentral:lncRNA from 1 species